UAUACACAUAUAUAUAUAUAUAUAUACAUACAUACAUAUACAAACACACACACACACUUAUACAUUAAACUACGUACCUUGCCAGUAUAGCUUAACAGUAUAGCAAUAUAGCUUCAGUAACUGGAGCAUGUACACAUACAGACCCAUGUAUACCAUCAAUGCCAGGGGUGAUAAGAAAAGUGGGUAGCCUGGUGGCAUGUAGAAAGGAUCAACCUCUGAUUUUACCAUCUGGAAAAAUUUGGACUUUUUACAUAUGGUCAAGAGGUAAUAUAAUUCAUAACUAGGGCUACAUGAUGCAUUUAGCAUACAUCUACAUCUUUCUGAUAGCACUAAUUAAUUUAUGGAAAUAUAAUGCAAUAAGUUACACAUGUAUAAAAUCAUAGGAAUAGGGUCAGUCAGUAAGUGUGAACUAAGUAGCUACCUAGAGGGGCUGAAGGCUAACCGUGUAAAAUAAUGCAUAUUAAUCUAGGAGGUUAAUUAAAUCACUUAAUGUGCCUAGAUUCCUAGGGCUGGACCUGCAAGUUUUAUUUAAGAGAAAUGUCUACCGUAGUGGAUGCAAGGUCCACAAUUGAUUGUUCGUGCUCACCUAAUUCUUUACCAUCCCCUUAAUAUACCAUCCCACUUAUUUUAGACUGCAAAGAACAGGUAUGGCUGGAUUUUGGCAUUGCUCAUGCACUAUAGUUAUUUACCAUCUGCAUUCAUUUUACACAGCAGAUAUUUUUUAAACUUACCUCAACAUUAAUUAUAUUUAAUAAUUGCAAUUAUAAAGAUCCUACACCCCCUAACAAAUGAUUGAACUAAUAUUAUUUUUUAUUAUAAAUUACUGUAAUAGUGGAUGAAGAUAAAGAAAAUAGUACAAAUUCCCAUUGCACACAUUCUUUUAUUGUGUGUGAAACAUUUACAUUUUUUCCUAAAUAUUGGUAAUGCAUCACCUUAAUACAUGAAAAUAUAACUUUCUUUUCCAUUUGCACUAAACACUGCAUUUAAUCACAUGAUUUUUGUAUAGCUAUAUCUUUUAUACACAUAUUGAAACACUCAGCAUUACAUUCCUGCCUUCCAGUCCAUAUUUAUCUGCUAUCUGAAUAACACAAUUCCCCGCAGCUUAAUCCCAAUGAUGUGAGAAGACUCCGACAGUUUAUUUAAAUGAUGAUUUAUGUAUGCAGAUGUUAUUCCAUGUCUGCAUGCAUAAUAACCUAUAACGAUGAGGGCUUCUCACACAGCUAUUCUUGAUUGAUAACUGCUGUUUCUGAUUGGACAAAAUGGCAACAGAGAGUCUAUAGUUCUGUUUACUUAUUGAUACAUUCGGUCCUGUGUACUAUAACUAGUGAAAUAGACUUUAGUAGAUAAGUUAAUGUGACACUGUAAGAUAGUAAUAUGAUUAUCUGACUGGAAUGACAUUUCACGUUAAUAUUAUCGAAUAUUAAUACAUCUCUGUACAGAGUCAGGCAAAGAUUUUAUGUCCUCUUCUCAUACCUUUACAGGCCUGUCACUCAAUCACACUGUCAAUCAAUGUCAGGUGAAGUCACACACUAAUACUGUCAUUUAACUAUGCCAAUUACUCAGGAAUGCUGUCACUCGAGUGCUGUAAGUCAUUCAUUCCCAUCGAUCUAGGUUUCCAUCCAUGAUGCAGUAAAUCAGUCAUACCACUGCAUGAUGUUAGGGUUAUAUAAUACAUAUUCUACAUUUAACUUUUCCUCAUGGCUUAUAUUGACGGUGAUGUAGACAGAGGAAUAUAUAUUGGGUACACCCAAUCUACAUGUAAAAAACAUGUUGAGUGACAUUAUACAUAUAUUCACUGUCUCACGUUGUAUGUCAAAGAACUUACUGAGUUGUUCUAUGUCUGGUCACUCAGUCCCAGUAACUCACAAAAAACGACCUUCACAAUUUUUAGUUUAAAUAAUCUCUGAUCUUUAUCAAGACACGGACUCAAUGUGUGACACAAAUAAUAUUUAGAUAACACGGUAUCAUCAACUCUAUUAGGUUUCUCUAUUUGGUCAAAUAUGACACAAGUAUUCCCAUUUUGGCUUCCUAGGCUGUGCGUUGCAGGGGGCUCAUCUUGCUUUCCUUCCUAAUUUUCUGAUUCAUUUUAUGCUGUACACAACAUCCACCCUCUGUGUUUUAAACUCUCCCGACAUCCAGCAUUUAAUAAUAACAAUAAUAGUAAUACAUAAUAGUUAUUGAAACACAAAGUCAGAUCUCGUAGGUACGUGAGCAGAAUAUCAUCCAUGGUGUUCAUUAUGUAUUAUGAUCAGUCAAUGUUUCCUCCUUCUCAGAUUGUUAUCAUUGCUCCUUCAUGUUCCUGACAAUGCUGAAUGACAGGGCCCUCAGACAUGACAUGACAAGUGCCGAGGGAGCUAUAGUAGCCUAUGAUGGCUGGGGGUAGAGAUUGUUUCCGCAUUUACAGCACAGCAGACAAUUCAAGGUAGAUCCCAUGUCAUCGUCUUUUUCUCAGAACCACAUAGCAAUAUAUUUAGUUCUAGUAGUUUAAGGUCUGUCUGCAGCGGUAGGCAAUCUUCGAUACUCCAGAUGUUGUGAACUACAUCUUCCAUAAUACUUUUACAGCCAUAAUCCUGGCAAAGCAUGAAGGGAGAUGUAGUCCACAAUAUCUGGAGUGCCGAAGGUUGCCUACCCCUGCUCUACUAUAUCUGUACUGCAUAUUCUAGUACUUUGGGUACUGUUUCAGCUACAGGAGCAUGUUAAACAAUGAAAAUUAAGUAGAACUGUAAAUUAAUUAUACCCUCAUGACAAUGAUAACAUAAACCACUAUUUUUAUAUCACAUUCUAUUAAUAGUGGGGUUGUACACUAGCUCCUAAAUGUGGUCAAAGCAAGAGAAAAUGACUUUCAGAGGUCAGAAAUCACUUACUUCUGCAUCAACUGAUGAUGUAACUGCCCAACUUUUGCUUGAUCAGCUGUGAAGCAGAACUGAAUGUAAUAUCAUGUGUCUGCCAAAAUACUUAUGCAUUGCUUUUUUAAAUAUUUUUUUUAUAUUUUUGAUUAACAUUGCAGCAUACCAAAGAGGCCAUAGUGAUGAUGAUAAAACAUACAGAAAAGGAAAGCAUAAAGAAUAUAAAAAAUAAGAAAAUUAUAUAUUGGUGUAUUUAUUUUAAUUUUUGCUUAUAUGAAAGAAACAAAAAUUAAGAUAAAAAAAUUAUUUCAAUUUUAAAAUGUAAAGUUUCUUUAUUCUCAGGUUACAGAUGAUAUUGCAAAAACAUAGG